rnacentral:rRNA from 1 species
AUGUAUCCAGUAGCUUGGGUUGUUGUGGAGAAGGAGACAAAUGAGAGUUGGGCCUGGUUCAUUGGUCUUUUAAUCAAAGACUUGGACAUUAACGAUCAAGGAGCUGGAUGGGUCUUUAUUUCUGAUAAGCAAAAGGUUAAAUUUAUUUACUGCCUUAUUCAAUUGUUGAAAAGGUUUAGUUGUGUCGACGGAGCGUCAAGUAGUCAUGGCUAG